GACGAACGCUGGCGGCGUGCUUAACACAUGCAAGUCGAACGGAAAGGCCCUGCUUUUGUGGGGUGCUCGAGUGGCGAACGGGUGAGUAACACGUGAGUAACCUGCCCUUGACUUUGGGAUAACUUCAGGAAACUGGGGCUAAUACCGGAUAGGAGCUCCUGCUGCAUGGUGGGGGGUGGAAAGUUUCGGCGGGUGGGGAUGGACGCGCGGCUUAUCAGCUUGUUGGUGGGGUAGUGGCUUACCAAGGCUUUGACGGGUAGCCGGCCUGAGAGGGUGACCGGCCACCUUGGGCCUGAGAUACGGCCCAGACUCCUACGGGAGGCAGCAGUGGGGAAUAUUGCACAAUGGGCGGGAGCCUGAUGCAGAAACGCCGCGUGCGGGAUGACGGCCUUCGGGUUGUAAACCGCUUUCGCCUGUGACGAAGCGUGAGUGACGGUAAUGGGUAAAGAAGCACCGGCUAACUACGUG
rnacentral:rRNA from 1 species